rnacentral:rRNA from 1 species
GAUGAACGCUGGCGGCGUGCCUAAUACAUGCAAGUCGAGCGAAUGGAUUAAGAGCUUGCUCUUAUGAAGUUAGCGGCGGACGGGUGAGUAACACGUGGGUAACCUGCCCAUAAGACUGGGAUAACUCCGGGAAACCGGGGCUAAUACCGGAUAACAUUUUGAACCGCAUGGUUCGAAAUUGAAAGGCGGCUUCGGCUGUCACUUAUGGAUGGACCCGCGUCGCAUUAGCUAGUUGGUGAGGUAACGGCUUACCAAGGCAACGAUGCGUAGCCGAACUGAGAGGGUGAGCGGCCACACUGGGACUGAGACACGGCCCAGACUCCGACGGGAGGCAGCAGUAGGGAAUCUUCCGCAAUGGACGAAAGUCUGACGGAGCAACGCCGCGUGAGUGAUGAAGGCUUUCGGGUCGUAAAACUCUGUUGUUAGGGAAGAACAAGUGCUAGUUGAAUAAGCUGGCACCUUGACGGUACCUAACCAGAAAGCCACGGCUAACUACGUGCCAGCCGCCGCCGUAA